UACGUAGGGUGCAAGGCGUUGUCCGGAAUUAUUGGGCGUAAAGAGCUCGUAGGCGGUCUGUCGCGUCGCUGUGAAAACUCGGGGCUCAACCCCGAGCCUGCAGCCGAUACGGGCAGACUAGAGUUCGGUAGGGGAGGCGUGGAAUUCCUGGUGUAGGCGGUGAAAUGCGCAGAUAUCAGGAGGAACACCGGUGGCGAAGGCGGGUCUCUGGGCCGAUACUGACGCUGAGGAGCGAAAGCGUGGGGAGCGAACAGG
rnacentral:rRNA from 1 species